rnacentral:hammerhead_ribozyme from 1 species
AUCCAUCUGACGAGUCCCAAAUAGGACUAAGUGGCGCGCGUCCUGGAU